UCCGCAAAAGUCAGGGUGUGACAGGAAGCAUGUUGUUAUGAACGCCACUGCGUUUUUGACAUUGUUAAUGUUUUAUUGAUUAGGUUAAUUUUGGUUUCUCUUGUGAGUUUCGGCGAGACUAGGGUUUCAAAUCUAUGAUUUAGGUUAUCAGAUCUACGAUUAUGGAUUUUAGAAACAAAAAUCGUUCUAGGGUUAUGAUUUUUUUUAAUGUAGCUGUUAUUUAAUUCAUGUUAGCUCUUUCCCAUCAUAUUUACACAAUUUCUAAUUUUUAUACAUAUAGUAUGUAUUCGGUCUAGGGCCUUUAUAAACUACAUUGGUGAAAAUGGAAAUUGGCUCUGGCAAAGAUGAUUGCUAUACAAGCCGGAAAAGGUCGCAUCCGAUGAAAUCCUUCGUCUUUGGUGAUUCAGUUUUGUUUACUGUCAUUGAACAUUCUUAGUUUGUUUAUCAGUGGGUGAAUCAUCCCAAGAUGUUAGAUGUCGAAUGCAAGAGGACAUUUAAGGACACUAACUUUAAAGAAUGGAAGCUUGUGAUUCAAUAAAUAAUCAAGUUGGACAAAUAUACAAGGGGAAUGCGAAAGUAUCUCAUGGGGAUGAUAAUGUUGUGUGAAGGGUGUUUGAAGUUACUGUCAUCAGUGGCGAAACUUGAAAAAAAAGUUCGGGGGGUCGAAAACGUAUAUACCUAAAUUUUUUUUUAUAAAACCGGGGGUCGAAAACGUAUAUACCUACAAAAUUCUAUACGAAACGUACAUAUAUAACACUACUGGCCGAAAAGUUCGGGGGGUUGGGCGCCCCCUCCCGCCCCUUAAAUCAUGCGCCCCUGACUGUCAUGAUAGAAAGCUCUUUCUUCAGCUGAAGUGGUAUGGUUACGGAUCCUCAAAGAGCUUAAACUGUACGUUGAUCCGAAUCUUGAUCCGGUGCUCAUAGUGCCUGGGAUUGCUAAAUAACAUUUAAAUGCUAAAGAUGGUGAAACGGGGAAGAAAGAGCGAGUUUGGGUAGUUAAUCGUGAAUUUAGAGAUAAACUUUGGUGUAAAUUUGAUCCUGAAUCGGGGCUUUUGAAUUAGGGUGCACACAUUGCUAGCCAGAACCGAGGUCAAUGAGGUAUGGUUGUCGGGUCUCUUUUAAGAACAUAACCAGUUUGGGUCGUGCCAGUUCGGACUUGGUAUACCACUCGCCCCGCUGCACCUUUUUUGUCAGGUAUAAUGUUAUCAUAUGUUAGUUUUGCAUGGUUUUGUCGGGUCUCUUUUUCAUUAGUUUUUACUCGAUUAUCUUUAGAAUUUGUAAGACAUUUAUUGAAGCAAAAAUUAUUAACUACACAUGAAAGUAUAAAUUUUGCAGCUACUUCAAUCAGAUUUAAUCCUCAUGUGGCAGGGUAGUUGAAAGAAAUAUAUGCUUUAUGAGACCUUGCUUCUUAAUUGACAUCCACUUUUUGGCAACUAUUUUCUUGCAUAAGCAAAUUCAAACAUCUUAAAAAUCUUAUUUUAACUAUAAUAUGGGUAUGUUUGUUAAUUUAAAAUUUUCAAUCAAGAACAAGUGGGGUGGAUUGGUUACUUAUCAUAGUACACGGUUCGCUAUGUAGAGAAGAAAAAACUAAUGUAUACAGAUGCACCACAAGAUGUGUAGACCAUAGAAAUCUAUUAUCUCAGAUUAUAUAGAUUAUAUGAAGAUGUGAUCGUGUUUGAUCACGUGCAAAAGGUACUCGAUAGCAUAAUUGCAUACCGUUUUCAGUUUCAUGAAUCUUUAUUAUAAUUAUGAUUCUUUAACAAGUUGAGACUUUUUCGUUUUCAUUUAUUCGGUUCAUUGUAAUUUAAUCUUUAUGUAAGUAACGAAACUCUUUUUUUUUUUCAUUUCAAUGCUUUUAAUGAUCAUGGGUUAAUGUGAACUGUCCCAACGCACAAAGAGAGCAUAUCUGGAGAAUAUUCAUUUGAUUGGACGAUGGAAUAGACGAAGGCUCAUGACUAUUUUUUUGGAAUCAUCCAAAGCCUUUAAUCUAUAUAAUGGGAUCCCAUGGCAACAAUAUUCUAGAUGGAUCUAUUUUUGGGAUUCUACAUUUUGGUAGGCAUUUGAAACUUCAGUUGGCACUUGGUUAUCGACAAGUUUUGCUACCCCUUAAUGGCAAAUUGAGCCAAAUGGCCUUCCGUGUGACAACCAUGGAAGUCUACUUAUGAGUAGGACAAGUCUGCCACAAGCAACUUUUGAAGGUUUUUAAAAAGCAAAUGAUCAAUUUAUCUUUUAUUUAUUAUAUAAGAUUUAAUGUCGUCGGGCAAGGUGAUUUGAUGAAAGUUAUACGAAGCGAAGGGAUUGGAUGAUUAUACUUCCGUGGUUGGAUUCUUAUAACAGGUUAUACGAAGCGAAGGGAUUGGAGGAUUAUACAUUAGCCUUAGCAGAGACCCUGGCGUUAUACAUUUCAUGAUUCUAGAUCUGUAUAUAGUAAGUAUAAUAAACUUUAUAUCCACUAAGAAUGUAUUAAUGCCUUACAGUUUUGUGUUCGUGACUCAUGCGCCUCAUAGCAAUAUGUUCUAGAGUUGUAUGUACUACAUCGGUUGGGUUUGAAGUUAUAAUGGUUCUAAGGUUGUAUAACGUACAUCAAUUGGGUAUAAAGUGAUUAAAGGUUGUAUAUAGUACAUCAAAUUGGUCUUUGUAAGUUUCUCUUUAUUAUAUUGUAGAAAAUGGAGUA